UAAUAUCCACCUUAUUGUCCCCUGAGAUUAAGUUAAUUUUAAAAUAGUUCAUGUGUCAACAGUCACAGUUUACAGUUUAGAAUAACAACAAACAUGUAAGAAGGUCAAUAGCAAGACUCAAUAUGUUGUUAUUAUUAUACUAGUGGGGAGAAAACUGGCAGAUAAAGACAUGGUUCUCCCUUCUCCGUGUCUAGACUGCCCUCUGCUCUCCAAAGAGCCCACGUUCGUCUGUAUACUGCGUGAGUGGUAAUGAGACAGUAGGGACCAGCUACACUGUUGAGCUCGGAAACCUAUUGUUUCAGAGGGGAAUUAUAACAGUCUCUCUGUCUCCCAUCUCCACCCUUUGUAUUUUUUUAACAGGAGUUCACACUAAGGACGCACACUUCGGCCUUCACCUCUGUCAACCAAUGGAAACACAAUAUCAAGGGGCCAGAAUGGACAAGAAUGGGAAUACAAGUAAAACAAGACUCAACUGGUUUUCUGCCUUUGCGAAGAACAACCAUUGCAUACUGGUUCAGCCAAUAAUACGUUUCCCAUGAAUGAGUGUUAUGUCACUAAGUGUUUUGACAGUUGAGUCCUUUGUGGAGUCCAUUACAGCAAUGUGGAUUUUCCCAGGAUGGACCGGGAUCUCGGAAAGGGACAUUUGCAAUAUAAAGACGAUGCUGGAUUCAAAUCUAUACAUUCACCAAUAGAAUCACAAAAACAAUCCAAAACAUUUCACUAGUACACUUUGGCCUAAAACAUGGUUUUUGGGCCCCACUGUUUACUCCAUCUUGUUUGUUAUAUGGGAAGUAAUAUUUAUUCAAGGCAGACAAUAGCUUUGGAGUGUAUAGUCAAGGUUGGAGGUGAAAAAAUAAAAGUAAUAGUGAAUUGCUCUUCGCGGUAGCUUUCCUGUAUAAUGUUACGAUACAAAUCGAGGACUGUUAGCCAUAUGCCUUCAAUUUUCUCAGUGUGCUCUGUAUUGCUACUGUGUGAAGAGACAAACACUUACAUGAGCUGGUUGCUGCUAUUCCCCCGACACAUUGAGAACGACGCACACAAACACACACAUACACACCAAACACUCAGACACACACACCCAAAUGGACACAAACCUGUAGAGAGCUUAAUUUGGUUCCACACUGCCUGGAUGUGUUUUUUUAAAUGAGCCCCAACAUGUCAGGGGAAGGUUAUUCAUGGCACUAUUUGUGUGAUUGCGCUGUGUUAUAUUAAAC
ensembl:lncRNA